GAUGAACGCUGGCGGCGUGCUUAACACAUGCAAGUCGAACGGUGAACACGGAGCUUGCUCUGUGGGAUCAGUGGCGAACGGGUGAGUAACACGUGAGCAACCUGCCCCUGACUCUGGGAUAAGCGCUGGAAACGGCGUCUAAUACUGGAUAUGUGACGUGACCGCAUGGUCUGCGUUUGGAAAGAUUUUUCGGUUGGGGAUGGGCUCGCGGCCUAUCAGCUUGUUGGUGAGGUAAUGGCUCACCAAGGCGUCGACGGGUAGCCGGCCUGAGAGGGUGACCGGCCACACUGGGACUGAGACACGGCCCAGACUCCUACGGGAGGCAGCAGUGGGGAAUAUUGCACAAUGGGCGCAAGCCUGAUGCAGCAACGCCGCGUGAGGGAUGACGGCCUUCGGGUUGUAAACCUCUUUUAGCAGGGAAGAAGCGAAAGUGACGGUACCGGCAGAAAAAGCGCCGGCUAACUACGU
rnacentral:rRNA from 1 species